rnacentral:rRNA from 1 species
UUUCCCUGUUGAAAGUGGUGAAUGGAUAACAUUGGGGAGGCACACCUUGUCAGAAAACCGGCAAAAUUGGCCAACGACACACGAGUAAGGCCCCCAGGCAAGGGGGGCAACACGGGGAUUAGGUCCCAUGGGUGUCGAAAGCCCUAAAACUAGGAUGGCUGAGUGGGAGGGGUACCCAAUCCCCCUCGUGCCGCCAGGUAACCGAAAAAGCAUUCCCGCUGGGGGAGUAGCGUCGCAAGCGUGAAUCUCAAAGAAUGGAGGGGGGCCCGCAACAAGCGGUGGGGCAUGUGGUCCAUUCGACGCAACGCGAAGAACCUUACCUGGGCUCGAAAUGGAGUGAAUCCGGUGGAAACAUCGGCGCCCGCAAGGGCCGCUCUAUAGGUGCUGCAUGGCUGUCGUCAGCUCGUGUCGUGAGAUGUUGGGUUAAGUCCCGCAACGAGCGCAACCCUUAUCGUUAGUUGCCAUCGGGUCAAGCCGGGCACUCUAGCGAAACCGCCUCGGAUAACGGGGAGGAAGGUGGGGAUGACGUCAAGUCCUCAUGGCCUUUAUGUCCAGGGCUACACACGUGCUACAAUGCACGGUACAAACCGUCGCAAACCCGCGAGGGGGAGCUAAUCGGAAAAAGCCGUGCUCAGUUCGGAUUGGAGUCUGCAACCCGACUCCAUGAAGCUGGAAUCGCUAGUAAUCGCAGAUCAGAACGCUGCGGUGAAUACGUUCCCGGGCCUUGUACACACCGCCCGUCACGUCACGAAAGUGGACCAUACUAGAAGCAGGUGGGCCAACCGCAAGGGGGCAGCCUUCCAAGGUAUAGUUCAUGAUUGGGGUGAAGUCGUAACAAGGUAAAUCGAAUUCCCGCGGCC